AGAUGCUAAUACCGGAUAACAACAGAUGAUGCCUAUCAACUGUUAAAAAGUAUGGUUCUGCUAUCACUCUUGGAUGGACCUGCGGUGCAUUAGCUAGUUGGUAAGGGUAACGGCCUACCAAGGCGAUGAUGCAUAGCCGAGUUGAGAGACUGAUCGGCCACAUUGGGACUGAGACACGGCCCAAACUCCUACGGGAGGCAGCAGUAGGGAAUCUUCCACAAUGGACGCAAGUCUGAUGGAGCAACGCCGCGUGAGUGAAGAAGGGUUUCGGCUCGUAAAGCUCUGUUGUUGGUGAAGAAGGACAGGGGUAGUAACUGACCUUUGUUUGACGGUAAUCAAUUAGAAAGUCACGGGCUAACUACGUGCCAGCAGCCGCGGUAAAAU
rnacentral:rRNA from 1 species